rnacentral:lncRNA from 1 species
GGGAGUUGCAUUGGUUCUCAGAAUUCAGUUUAUUUAAGGUGUACACCAAUGAUGGAAAACCAGAAUCUGCUAUUGCUUAUUCUAAGCUUGACUACUGGAUGGAAACAGAAGAUGGAAGUUAAGCGAUGAAAGAACCAACUGAGCAAAGCAAUAUGUAAUUUAUGCAAAUUUGGAAGAUUUUUACAACAAAUUGACCUAUCACAUUUGACUGUGAUUUAGUCUUGAAGAAGUCAAGACAGGAGAACACAACACAACAACAAAUGAUGGGUGUAUGCUGCAGGGAUUGGAUGCUGAAAUCAUCUACCUUAGGGGGUAUUCUAACUUGGGUCGUUAAAAAGGUGAUGUUCAUGCAACUU